rnacentral:rRNA from 1 species
AUUGAACGCUGGCGGCAGGCCUAACACAUGCAAGUCGAGCGAGCGGCGGACGGGUGAGUAAUGUCUGGGAAACUGCCUGAUGGAUGGGGAUAACUACUGGAAACGGUAGCUAAUACCGCAUACCAUCAGAUGUGCCCAUAUGGGAUUAGCUAGUAGGUGGGUAAUGGCCCACCUAGGCGACGAUCCCUAGCUGGUCUGAGAGGAUGACCAGCCACACUGGAACUGAGACACGGGCCAGACUCCUACGGGAGGCAGCAGUGGGGAAUAUUGCACAAUGGGCGCAAGCCUGAUGCAGCCAUGCCGCGUGUGUGAAGAAGGCCUUAGGGUUGUAAAGCACUUUCAGCGAGGAGGGGUACUCGCAGAAAAGCACCGGCUAACUCCGUGCCAGCAGCCGCGGUAAUUC